rnacentral:rRNA from 1 species
AUACGGAGGAUCCGAGCGUUAUCCGGAUUUAUUGGGUUUAAAGGGAGCGUAGGCGGACGCUUAAGUCAGUUGUGAAAGUUUGCGGCUCAACCGUAAAAUUGCAGUUGAAACUGGCAGUCUUGAGUACAGUAGAGGUGGGCGGAAUUCGUGGUGUAGCGGUGAAAUGCUUAGAUAUCACGAAGAACUCCGAUUGCGAAGGCAGCUCACCAGACUGUUACUGACACUGAUGCUCGAAAGUGUGGGAAUCAAACAGGAUUAGAUACCCUGGUAGUCCACACAGUAAACGAUGAAUACUCACUUUUUGCGAUCUACAGUAAGCGGCCAAGCGAAAGCAUUAAGUAUUCCACCUGGGGAGUACGCCGGCAACGGUGAAACUCAAAGGAAUUGACGGGG